CAAGCUGCCUUUUUCCCCCUAGAUUAUGUCUCUGUCUUAGUGUGUGUCCUAUUGCUAUGAAAAAGAUCAUGACUAAAAGCAAUUUGGGGAGGAAAGUGUAUUUGGCUUACACAUCACAGUUCACCAUGGAGAGAAAGAAGUCAGGACAGGAACUCAAAGCCAGAACCUGGAGGCAGGAACUGAAGCUGAGUCCAUCUGGGAACAUUGCUUACAGUGUAAACUGAGACGAGUAUCAAUCUGGAGAAAGUAAACUCAAGAGCAGGAGAGAUGGCUCAGUGGGUGAAGGUGUUUGCUGGUGACCAAGAGUGGAGCCCCUGGAAUCCAUGCAGUGGAAGGAGAAAACCAGCUCUGACCUCCACAAGGCCUGCGGAGACCCUGAGCCAAGUUGGCCUCAGCUUUCAGCAGGAUCCAAGGCUUCCCGUGGCCGCAUCGACAGUUAAGCCGUCCCUCUUUUAGUGGUUGCUGCUGCAAGGCCGUACACUCUCCCAGCUAAGUGCAGCCACCUGUGUGACCUCAGCCCUGCUGCUGCCAUCUUGCCUGACCAGCCACCGCCAAAAGUUACGCAGAAUAGCUGAACGCCUUUGCCACCUUCUGGUCAAAGAUAAUUACUGCAUCUGGAGUAGAAACCACCAGAUUUUAUUUAUUUAUUAUAUAUGCAGUCUUCUGCCUGCACGCCAGCAGAGGGUACCAGAUCUCAUUCAAGGUGGUUGUGAGCCACCAUGUGGUUGCCAGGAAUUGAACUCAGGACCUCUGGAAGAACAGUCAGUGCUCUUAACCACUGAGCCAUCUCUCCAGCCCCAAACACUAAACUUUUGUAAUGCCCAUGAGAAAGGACAAACAGCUGUGGAAAGACACUGGACUAAGGAAAAAACUACUGAACUGAAUCAGCUGGUAUACUUCAAAGAUGUACUAACCUCUGUAUGGAAACCAGGACAUGUGUUACAAUGGGGUAGGGGUUUUGCUUUGGUUUCCACAGGAGAAGAAAAACUUUGGAUACCAUCAAUUUGAUCAAGAUUUGAGUUGAAAAGGAAAAACCUCUCGACGAGGAGAAAUGACAGGUAUUCUACUAAGGUAUGUCUUAUAAACUAAAUAGAAACCUCCCAAAGGAAAGGGAAGUAUUUUGCUUUUAUCUUCACAGCAAAACUCAUCUCCAGAAAGCAAAGGACACUGCAUGGGUAGAUGCUUAAGAAGAAAAGGUGGCUAUAACCUUCAAACAAAAGGAAUAUGCCAUAUGGUUAACUUUAUAGCUGUCUCUCAGAGAACUCUAUUUCUCUUUAUUUCCUAGUCCCUAUUCAAUUAAACCAAUGCUAGCGUUAGAGGUGGAUUUGGCUUUCCAACAAGUAUGUUAUUUAACUAAAUGUCAGAGCCACUGUAUUGUAUCAAGAAGCCAAUUGAUGUAAUACAGAAUGAGAGAAAAGUUGGGGACUGUCUUUGUCUUUUCUUGGCUCUUUCUCUCAAGGUGUACAUCCUCUCAUAAUUGUUAUGCUCCCAUGGUUGCAUUCCCCAGCAUGUGUACAUACACAAGCAAACAUUUCUCCACUAACAUUUAUGUUUGAGUCCCACACAGCCAAUGAAGACCUGCCUGAUAGCAAUCCCUGGACACCCCAGAAAGAAAAUGGGCCAUACCUCCUUGACUGCACUGGAUCCAACUUGCUUCAUUUCAAUGGACACUCUGGCUAGAGCUUCGGGACCCCACAAGGAUGUCGUCGUCAUCCCAUUUCAGCAGGAAGUAACUUGGAAGAUACUACGUCCCCUUUCCCCCAUUGUUGUCACUUAGGAUAGUGUAUACCUGGUUAGGGAUAGCUUCCUAUUGUUUAUGGUUGGGAUUGAAAGGAGGUGUUCAGGUUUGGACACCCCUUUCAGAUGACUUUAGGGUUUAGUUAAAAUAGAC
rnacentral:lncRNA from 1 species